rnacentral:rRNA from 1 species
UAGUUGUACGAGUUGAGACUCGUAGCAGAUAGCUCAGUAACACGUGGCCAAACUACCCUAUGGAUCCAGACAACCUCGGGAAACUGAGGCUAAUCUGGAAUAGGGCUCUCAUCCUGGAGUGGAGAGAGCCUGAAAUGCUCCGGCGCCAUAGGAUGUGGCUGCGGCCGAUUAGGUAGACGGUGGGGUAACGGCCCACCGUGCCAGUAAUCGGUACGGGUUGUGAGAGCAAGAGCCCGGAGACGGUAUCUGAGACAAGAUACCGGGCCCUACGGGGCGCAGCAGGCGCGAAACCUUUACACUGCACGCCAGUGCGAUAAGGGGACUCCAAGUGCGAGGGCAUAUAGUCCUCGCUUUUUGCGACCGUAAGGUG